rnacentral:misc_RNA from 1 species
GAUGAAGAACGUAGCGAAAUGCGAUAAGUAAUGUGAAUUGCAGAAUUCAGUGAAUCAUCGAAUCUUUGAACGCACAUUGCGCCCUCUGGUAUUCCGGGGGGCAUGCCUGUUCGAGCGUCAUUAUAACCACUCAAGCUCUCGCUUGGUAUUGGGGUUCGCGGUUUCGCGGCCCCUAAAAUCAGUGGCGGUGCCUGUCGGCUCUACGCGUAGUAAUACUUCUCGCGAUUGAGUUCGAUAGGUCUACUUGCCAGUAACCCCCAAUUUUUACAGGUUGACCUCGGAUCAGGUAGGGAUACGCGCUGAACUUAAGCAUAUCAAUAAGCGGAGGA